rnacentral:lncRNA from 1 species
AUGAACCGACCUGAAUGGAACUCAGCGGACAGGAGGCAAUGCUGGAUGCCCGUGCCAGCAGCGUCGAGAGCUGGCGUGCCCGUGCCAGCAGCGUCGAGAGCUGGCGUGCCCGUGCCAGCAGCGUCGAGAGCUGGCGUGCCCGUGCCAGCAGCGUCGAGAGCUGGCGUGCCCGUGCCAGCAGCGUCGAGAGCUGGCGUGCCCGUGCCAGCAGCGUCGAGAGCUGGCGUGCCCGAGCCAGCAGCGUCGAGAGCUGGCGUGCCCGAGCCAGCAGCGGUGGGCGUGCCCGAGCCAGCAGCGGUGGGCGUGCCCGAGCCAGCAGCGGUGGGCGUGCCCGAGCCAGCAGCGGUGAGCGUGCCCGAGCCAGCAGCGGUGAGCGUGCCCGAGCCAGCAGCGGUGAGCGCUGGCGUGCCCGAGCCGGCAAAACAGAAAGCCGUAUUCAAGUCUGCAGUCGUGAGAGCGGAGGAGAGAGCCGCGGCCGACUCUGCAGCAAAGACUCUUGUACAGUCUGUCUCAUCUCGUAAGGAGAUGCCAAUUGUCCUGGCUGCUAAAGCCUUUUCUGAUUAUUUGUCCUGUCUUGUCCAAAUUUUAGAAGUCCCCGUCAGUCCUGUUUUAUCCCCUGACCCUGUCCCCAGAAGUCCUAAGUGUCCAGCCGUUGUCUCCCCGUGUCCUGUUGAUGUGUCCCCGUGUCCUGUUGAUGUGUCCCCGUGUCCUGUUGAUGUGUCCCCAUGUCCAGUAGAUGUUGUCCCCCCGUGUCCAGCUGUCGUCUCCCCGCGUCCCGUAAGUCUUGCCCCGCGUCCCGUAAGUGUUGCCCCGCGUCCCUUGUCUGCUCCUAUCAUGUCCCCUGUCAGUUGUCCCGAGACCCCUCCCCGCCCCUCACCACCCAGACCUGCCCGUACCCCCCGUCGUCAGCCUUCGUCCUGUCCUCCUAAGAUUCCUGCACCACCCACCCACCCUGGUCUGUCCCCCAUGAACUUUGUGGUCCCGCCUCCUCCCCUUCCCUGUUUGUUUUUUUUGAUUUGUCACCCUAACCCUGCCGUUGUGUACUCAUGUUUGCCUUUGUUGUUAUUUGUCAUGUCCUGUUGGUUUGUGUCUGUGUCCCAGUCUGUCAUGUCAGUCGUGUCCCGUGUUUGA